AUACGUAGGGAGCGAGCGUUGUCCGGAAUUACUGGGCGUAAAGGGUGCGUAGGCGGCCAGGCAAGUCAGAUGUGAAAUCCCCGGGCUUAACUCGGGAGUUGCAUUUGAAACUGCUUGGCUUGAGUGCAGGAGAGGAAAGCGGAAUUCCUAGUGUAGCGGUGAAAUGCGUAGAUAUUAGGAGGAACAUCAGUGGCGAAGGCGGCUUUCUGGACUGUAACUGACGCUGAGGCACGAAAGCGUGGGGAGCAAACAGGAUUAGAUACCCUGGUAGUCCACGCUGUAAACGAUGGAUACUAGGUGUGGGGGAGAUACAACCUCCGUGCCGCAGCAAACGCAAUAAGUAUCCCGCCUGGGGAGUACGGUCGCAAGGCUGAA
rnacentral:rRNA from 1 species